GCUCUCAUCAUUGUCAAAGCCUUCAUCUUCAGCAU
rnacentral:sRNA from 1 species